rnacentral:rRNA from 1 species
UACGUAGGGUGCGAGCGUUAAUCGGAAUUACUGGGCGUAAAGCGUGCGCAGGCGGUUGUGUAAGACAGAUGUGAAAUCCCCGGGCUCAACCUGGGAACUGCAUUUGUGACUGCACGGCUCGAGUGCGGCAGAGGGGGAUGGAAUUCCGCGUAUAGCAGUGAAAUGCGUAGAUAUCAGGAGGAACACCGAUGGCGAAGGCAGGUCUCUGGGCUGACACUGACGCUCAUGCACGAAAGCGUGGGGAGCAAACAGG